CGUAAAUCCAGAAAGCCCUUAACCUGCUUGACUUUGUCAUUUCUACAGCUCAAACAGUGACAAGCGAUGGAUGCACAGGACCUUAAACAACUGAUUUACAUAAAAAUUCAUGUAUGAUUCGUGACAUUAAAUUAUGGGUUGAAAUUCAACACACACACUCCUGCCAACACAUAUACAUGGUCUUUUGACAAAAUAGGUAGGAGAAAUUAUCCCAAACCCAUCAAUAGCAGUCUUCCAAGCACUC
rnacentral:lncRNA from 1 species